UCGACGAAAGUUCCACUUCUCACUCACUAUAAAUUUUGUUCAUAACUCACGUUACUCAUCAGUUGUUGUAAAUAUAUAAUUAUAAAUAAAAUUAUCAACAUUUUUUUGUAAUAAUUGUUGUUAUUAAAGGUAGUUUGAGAUGGAGCAGCAAUUUUGGUGAUCUAUCCAUACCAUUUUUUGGCACUCCGUUUUGUAUCAAUGGAAUACGGUUACUAGAGUGUAUUUAUGGACCGUGCAGGCCGACAAAUAGAGAUUCUGAGGAGGGAAUCAACGGCCAUCCAACUGGCCAAAAAAGACGAUUUCGAGUGCAGCCAACUAAAAAGCUUGGGUGUAAGGCCCAGAUCACUGUUAGGGAGUUAACCGUGUAUCCAGACUACAUCGUUCCAACAUCCUGUAACAACAAACACCAGAUGGAACGAGUCAUUAAACCAUCGCUCUUGAACAAGUUAAAAAUCGAUAAAGAACACAAUGAAGCGCAAAUUAAAAAAAUAAAGAGGUUUUUUGUCAAAGUUCCAAACCAGCAAGCACACACAAACCACCCACACGGAGAAGUGUGCGGCAUUUCCAAUGGGGUCCAUCCGCUUAUAAUAGAGAAAAUCCACGAGCUUGUUGCAGCAGGUGUAACACAGUGGCAGGAAGUUAAAAAGUUACUUACCUACCAUGUGGAAAACAUAUUGUUCCAAGAUGAUAAAAGUCCAAGGCCCUCAACACUUAACCGGUCAUUUUAUCCAACCAGCACAGACAUCAUCAAUCAUAUCUACUCAGCUACCAACAAACAAAAACUUAGCAAACUGGAUCAGGUGAAUUUGCAAAAAAUGAUUGACGAAUGGAAAAUGUCUACAUGCCACAUCUGAUAACUGGAGAAACAUGUACAGAAAUCUCCUGAUUCCAGCUGAACUUCAAUGUUUAAAUCCAGGCUGUCUUGUUAGCGACCUCAUUAUUGAAGCUUUUCUUCAAUACCUCAAAUUUGAAUAUGCUGAUGAGAAUGUGAAACAAUCCACCAUUGCAUUGUCAAGCUAUUUCUGUACCAAGCUCAGGUCAUAAAACCAUCCAUAAAACCAUCACAACAGCAAA